UGGGGAAUUUUGCACAAUGGGGGAAACCCUGAUGCAGCGACGCCGCGUGUACGAUGAAGAUCUUCGGAUUGUAAAGUACUGUCCUUGGUGAAGAUAAUGACUGUAACCAAGAAGCAAGCCCUGGCUAAAUACGUGCCAGCAGCCGCGGUAAUUCGUAUGGGGCAAGCGUUGUCCGGAAUUAUUGGGCGUAAAGGGUACGUAGGCGGUUAUUUAAGUCUAAAUUAAAAGGCAUUGGCUCAACCAAUGUAAGGUUUAGAUACUGGAUAACUUGAGUAGAUGAGGGGAAAGUGGAAUUCCAUGUGUAGCGGUGAAAUGCGUAGAUAUAUGGAGGAACACCAAUGGCGAAGGCAACUUUCUGGAAUCAAACUGACGCUGAGGUACGAAGGCGUGGGGAGCAAACAGG
rnacentral:rRNA from 1 species